rnacentral:rRNA from 1 species
GACGAACGCUGGCGGCGUGCUUAACACAUGCAAGUCGAACGGAAAGGCCCUGCUUUUGUUGGGUGCUCGAGUGGCGAACGGGUGAGUAACACGUGAGUAACCUGCCCUUGACUUUGGGAUAACUUCAGGAAACUGGGGCUAAUACCGGAUAGGAGCUCCUGCUGCAUGGUGGUGGUUGGAAAGUUUCGGCGGUUGGGGAUGGACUCGCGGCUUAUCAGCUGGUUGGUGGGGUAGUGGCUUACCAAGGCUUCGACGGGUAGCCGGCAUGGGAGGGUGACCGGCCACAUUGGGACUGCGGUACGGACCAGACUCCUACGGGAGGCAGCAGUGGGGAAUAUUGCACAAUGGGCGGAAGCCUGAUGCAGCAACGCCGCGUGCGGGAUGAUGGCCUUCGGGUUGUAAACCGCUUUCGCAUGUGACGAAGCGUGAGUGACGGUAAUGGGUAAAGAAGCACCGGCUAACUACGUG